GAUGAAGAACGCAGCAAAAUGCGAUAAGUAAUGUGAAUUGCAGAAUUCAGUGAAUCAUCGAAUCUUUGAACGCACAUUGCGCCCGCUGGUAUUCCGGCGGGCAUGCCUGUUCGAGCGUCAUUUCAACCCUCAAGCCCCCGGGUUUGGUGUUGGGGAUCGGCUCUGCCCUUCUGGGCGGUGCCGCCCCCGAAAUACAUUGGCGGUCUCGCUGCAGCCUCCAUUGCGUAGUAGCUAACACCUCGCAACUGGAACGCGGCGCGGCCAUGCCGUAAAACCCCAACUUCUGAAUGUUGACCUCGGAUCAGGUAGGAAUACCCGCUGAAGUUAAGCAUAUCAAUAAGCGGAGGA
rnacentral:misc_RNA from 1 species